rnacentral:lncRNA from 1 species
UUUAUACAUGGAGAGAUGCCUGAAGGCACCGACGUACAGAGGAGACACGUCUGUUGAUAGUUGAGAUCGUGGGCCACGUCUGUUCGUGAACAGGUGCCAUAUGGACCACGUCCUUUUGUUACCCCGACGAUUGAAGCAAUUAGGGAACUGCUUAUUCAUCUUAACACUCUCCCUUAAGCAGUUGUCCAUCAUGUACAUCCCUCCUUAAAACCUGUAGGUAAAAAGGUGGUUUGCAAUAAUAUACUGUGUAAUACUCCAGAAAAACCCAGUGAGAAAAAUUUGGAGAAAAUCAACAGUAUAUGAUAUGUCUUUGGUGUCUCUAUCGAAAAACCCUGAUGGGAAAAAUCAAGAGACUGACAUAUGCUUGAGUUGACAUUGCCUCAUUAAAAACCUAACAUGAGAAAACAUGAUAGUAAAACUCGUAUAGGAAAAGAGUACAAUGUGAUGCUAGUAUUAGAUUAAUCAAGAGAUACUCCCCCUGAUGCAAGCAAAUCUCUAAGUCGACGCAUACCAAUACCCUUAACACAUAUCCGAAAUGUGGAAUAAGGUAGCGACUUAGUGAAUAAGUCUGCGAGGUUGUCACAAGACUUAGUUUGCAUGACCUUAAUCUCACCACUCUGUUGAAGUUGAUGAGGGUAGAAUAACUUGGGGGAGAUAUGUUUGGUAACAUUACUCUUGAUAUAACCUUGUUGCAUCUGAGCAACACAAGCAGCAUUAUCUUCAUAGAUAAUGGUGGGUGAUUCAAUGGAAUGAAUCCCACAUGAUGAUUGAAUGUGAUUAAUCACCCUUCGAAGCCAGACACAUUCACGUGAGGCUUCAUACAAGGCAAUAAUCUCUGAAUGAUUAGUGGAUGUUGUUACUAGAGUUUGCUUGGAUGACUUCCAAGAAAUAGCAGUUCCACCAUUCAGAAAUACAAACCCAGUUUGAGACCUUCCAUUGUGGGGGUCUGAAAGAUAACCAGCAUCUGUGUACCCUACAAGGCUAGGAUCUUGAUUUCUUCCGUAGAAUAGACCGAGAUCUGCCGUGCCAUGGAGGUAUCGAAGAAUAUUUUUGAUUCCAGUCCAAUGGCGUUUGGUAGGGGAUGCACUAUAUCUAGCAAGUAAAUUUACCGCAAAGGCAAUAUCGGGUCUUGUAUUGUUUGCUAGAUACAUAAGUGCUCUAAUUGCACUAAGAUAUGGGUACUCAGGACCCAAAAUUUCUUCUUCUUCGUCUCGUGGUCGAAAAGGAUCCUUAUCCCUUUCUAGGGUACGGACGAUCAUAGGAGUCUUAGAUGGAUAUGCUUUAUCCAUAUUGAAUUUACUCAAUACUUUCUGCGCAUAAGCAGACUGAUGAAUGAGAAUGACCGUGGGAAGGUGCUCAAGUUGCAAACCCAAGCAAAAUUUGGUUUUACCCAAAUCCUUCAUCUCAAAUUCUGUCUUUAAAAGAUUGCGUGCCUCAUCAAUAUCACGUUUAUGGCCGAUGAUGUUCAAGUCAUCCACAUAUACUGAUAUGAUGCAGAAACCUGUAGAAGAUUUCUUUAUGAAGACACAUGGGCAAUCAUCACUGUUAGAAUAACCCUUAUUCAUAAGGAAUUCCUUCAGUCGGUUGUACCACAUUCUCCCUGACUGUUUUAAGCCAUAUAGAGAUUUGGUGAGUUUGACACAAAACAUGUUACGAUUUUUGCCAUUAUUCGGUACAGGUAUUCCAUCAGGAACUUUCAUGUAUAUGUCCGAAUCUAGUGACCCAUAAAGAUAUGCGGUCACGACGUCCAUCAACUGCAGAAGUAGACGUUUUUGUACUGCCAAUGAAAUUAAAUAUCGGAAGGUUAUUCCAUUCAUAACAGGAGAAUAUGUCUCAUUGUAAUCAAUUCCUGGUCUCUGGGUAAACCCUUGAGCAACUAAUCUCGCUUUAUAUCUCACAACCUCAUUGUUCUCAUUCCGUUUCCGGGUGAAAACCCAUUUGAAUCCAACAGGAUAUAUUCUGGGAGGUGUAGGUAUCACAUGGGUGAAUACCUUUCUUUUUGCUAGUGAGGAUAAUUCAGAGUUAAUUGCUUCCUUCCAUUUGAUCCAGUCUGAGCGUUGUUGACACUCUGCCAUGGAUUUAGGGUCUGGGUCAGAUAGAAGGUUACCAGCUAUGAUUGAUGAGAAACAUGAAUUUAUGACCGUAUUCUUACGAUCAUACAAUUCUCCAGAACUAGUAUAAUUAAUGGAAAUCUCCUGUACCCCAUGAAAAUCUUCUUGAUUCACAGGAAGAUUAGAUACGGGGUGUUCCGAUGUACCAGCAGCAUCUGAAUUGUGCACAUGAGUGCUGGUUUGUGGAUGUACAGUAUCCACUUGGUGUCCAUCAACCGGUGGUUGACUUUCGUUUACUGUUUUGGAGGAUCGAAUGUUCCUCUCUUUCCUUUGACGCUUAGUAGAAGCAUUAUCCUGCUUAGCAGCCCUCACCCUCUUCGGUUGAGAAGAUGGUUGAAUGGUUUUUCGUGGUACCUCCACUCGACUAGGCGCAUUGACAGCAGGAUUCAAGGAUUUUGUGACACCAUUAUAGUCAGUAAACGCAUCAGGCAGAUUAUUAGCAAAAUGUUGCAAUUCUAUAAUUUUCUAAACUUGAAGCUCAGAUUCCUGGGUUCGAGGAUCUGAGGACAGGAUGGAUUUGUCAUCCCAAUUGAUUUCCUGGCAUUCAUUAGGAUACUUGAAUUCUCCCCCUAAUGCCGGGAAAUGGUCCUCGUUAAAGAUGCAAUCAGCGAAACGAGCUGUGUACAAAUCCCCUGUAAGGGGCUCUAGGUAUUUGAUGAUCGAUGGGGAUUGAUAUCCCACAUAGAUGCCCAAUUUUCUAUGAGGUCCCAUAGCUGUUCGCUGAGGCGGUGAUACAGGGGUGUAGACCGCACAUCCAAAUUUCCGCAGAUGGGAUAUAUUUGGAGGAUUUCCUCGAACCAGGUGCAACGGAGAUGUUGCAUGAUAUGCAGUUGGGCGAAGUUGAAUAAGAUCAGCAGCGUGUAAAACUGCAUGACCCCAACAGGAUGUAGGUAAAUUGCAUUCAUGAAGUAAAGGUCUUGCGAUAAGUUUGAUCCUCCUAAUAAGAGAUUCAGCUAAACCAUUUUGAGUAUGUACAUAAGGCACAGAAUGUUCAAUGUGUAUUCCUUAGACCAUACAAUAAUCAUUGAAUGCUCUAGAAGAGAAUUCAGCCGCAUUAUCUAGGCGGAUUUUCUGGAUUUGAUGUUCAGGAUAAUGUGCUUUCAAUCGAAUGACUUGCGUCAUGAUUUUAGCAAAAGCAUGGUUACGUGUAGACAGUAGGCACACGUGUGACCAUCGUGUAGAUGCGUCAAUUAAUACCAUGAAGUAUCUGAACGGUCCAGAUAAUGGUUGUAUGGGUCCACAAAUGUCACCUUGAAUUCGUUCAAGGAACUUGAGUGGUUCAGCAUGAAUCUUAAGAGGAGAUGGUCUUAAGAUUAGCUUUCCCGUUGCACAUGAUGUACAUAUAAAAUCACAUGGUUUAGGGAAUUUGGCAGACUUUAAAUCAUGACCGAUGCAAUUACCUGUGAUUUUCUGCAUCAUCCCUAUUCCAGGGUGACCAAGACGUGCAUGCCAGGUCUUGAAUGAAUCUACAUUCUGAAAAAUCACUUUGUACGUAACAUGAGGUACUGGUUUUAUGUAUGUGUAGUACAAUCCGGAUGGAAGUGAAGGUAUUCUUUCCAGAACGUUAGCGCCAUAUUCAGAAGGUUUGGAAAUGAGGAGAAAUUCCUCAUUAUUUUAUGUAUGAGUAGAAAUAUGUAAACCACUUUUCCGAAUAUCUCGAAAACUCAGAAGGGUACGAGUUGAAUCGGGAUACAAUAAAGCAUCCUCGAUAGUGACUUGUGUACCCAUAGGGAGCGUAAUAGUCGCUCGUCCAGAGCCAACUAUUUUCGCAUCGCGCCCAGCGAUUGUCAAAAUAUUUCCUGACCUCUUUGUGAGAGUUUGGAAAUAUUUUGUUUCCCGAAGAAUAGAGUUGGUGGUACCACUGUCUACAAGGCAUAAUUCUUCCUCCAUUGGAUUGACUUCCGCAUAAUCUAUAUAAUCAAGAAUUGCAAGAACUCAAUUAAUUAUACAUAUAAGUACAUACAUAAUUAUACAGUAGAGUAUGGAGUAUACACACAAAUACCAAUGUCUAGGUACUUAUUACAACACACAUGUUGCACACACUCAUAGACUACAGAUAGAUGAUAUCUGGUGGAGCAUAAGGAUCCUAGUUGAGGUCUCCAAACACAUCACUCGAAGCAUAUUCGAUGAUGGCGUUGUCCAAGUCCAUGUAAUCGGUGUCGGUCAGAAGCGGAGGAUUGGUCGUGCUUGGUUCAAUUGUAGCCAUGCCUGAGCAACCAGCUCCAUCCUUCAAGUUAGGUGGGGUAGUGAAGUGAGCUUCAUAUCCCUGUCCUUCAGCAUUUUUUCCCUUAAGAGAUUGCUGGUACAGUUCCACUAAAUGACGAGGAAUGCGACACUUCUUAGUAGGAUGGUUGAAGCAUCCACACUUCUUACACUUCUCUUGCUUGGAAGUGGGUGUGUCUUUCCUCGGAGCCUUUGUAUUUUGUUUAUCCGGACGCUUGUUGUGUUUGCGCUUCUUUGAAUUAUCAGACUUCUUGGGAUGGCUUUUGGGGCCAUCCCCUUUCUUCUCAUUCUUCACAGCAUGAUGUAUUUCAGGCAUAGGAGCAGCUCCAACACGACGUUGCUUAUGAUUUUUCAUCGUAAGCUCAUCAUGCUUUUCUGUCUGAAGUAAAUCAUGUAUGAGUUCAGAGUAAGUCUGAUAAUUGCGAGCACGGUACUGAUGCUGCAGGACCCUAUCAGAUGGGAUCAUAGUUUGAAGUGUUUUUUCAAUCUUAUCCGCAUCUGAUGGUUCCUUGCCGCAGAAACGCAAGCGAGCACAGGUCUUAUGAAUAGCAUGGUUGUAAUCACCAAUAGACCUAUAGUCUUGCAGACGAAUAUGGGUCCAUUCAUGAUUCGCCUCUGGUAAGAUUACAACCUUUUGCUGCUCAUAUCUGUUUUUAAGAGAUAACCAUAAUACAUUUGGCUCUUCUUCCAUCACAUAUUCUGCUUUCGGAUCAGGAUGGAGGUGAUGUCUUAUAAUGUACAAAGCGUUGUACUUAUAAGCAUCAUGUAGUGGGUCAACCCUCUCAUUGGGAGGGAGUAAUGCACUCAGAAUAUUCUUUGAGGCUAAGCUGAUCUUGAUAUCCAACGCCCAGGUAGGAUAGUUGUGACCAUCAAGAGCAAGUUCUUCGAACUCGUGGGCCAUGAUCCUACACAAGCAACCAGAGAAUUUCGUUAAGAAAUCAUCAUGGGUGUGUUGUAAUAUGUGUGUUGUUCACAACAUACAUAUAUUCUUGCUCGUAUUGGAUUUAAGAGAAAAAUCCAAUUGAGAUGAAAAAUAUGCAAUAUAAUGCGAUAUUGCAUAAAUGAAUGAUAAUUUAAGGUCUCAAUUACAAAGUGAUGCAGAGAUCGAAAAUUUCAUUAUGUAGUAAAUAAAAUAUUCAGAUGAAAUUAAGUACUUGUAAUAACUUAAUAAGAUGAAUAUAUGAGUAGCAUGAAUUGCGUAUGGAAUUUAAUAAAUAAAUAUUCUUGCUCGUAUUAAGUUUUAAAUAACUUAAUUGAGAUGAAUAUUAAUUAUUCUAUAUGUUCUAUCAAAAAUUAAUUCUGCUCGUAUUAAACCACUAUGGGUAUAAUUGAGAUGAAUAAAUUUUUUUUUUGAGUUUGCAUUUUAAGAAAUGCAGAAUAGAACACAUGGCAAUAAAUAUCAUCUUAAAGAAGAUAUUUAUUUGCAUCAUUUCCAAACAAUAAAACUUUGGAGUAAUUCCUGACACAAGCUGCUACUGAAAGAUUUAUAAACAUCUUUAAUCAAAGCAAUCUAAUUUUCUAGGAUUUAGAAAAACUGAAAAUAGCUAAGAUAAAAAUAAAAAAUGGAAAACUACAGGCACAUGGGCCUGCUGGUAGGCCCAGGUUAAGGCCUGCGUGGCAUUUUUUUAAAGGGGUGGCAGUUAGGGUUUGAAACCCUAACUCCCCACGAGCCGCCGCCUUGGGCACAGCCAGCCGCCGGGCACCCUUGUUUCCAAACUGCAGCCGCCGGGCACCCUUGUUUCCAAACUGCAGCCGCCUUGGGCCUGUUGCUGGAGCCGCCGUGGCCGGGGAAGACCGUGCAGGUCUGGUGCUCCGCAUCCGUCCGUCCGUCGCGCCGGGGACCCUCGACGAGCCGCCGCGCCGUGCCUGGCGAGCCGCCGCGCAGGCCAGGGCGCGCCGCCGCGGGCCCUGCCGAGGCCGGGCUGCGUGCUGCCGGGCGCGGGCGAGCAGCCGCGCAGCGCCGCGUGCAGCCGGAGCGGGCGAGCCGCCGCGCCGGGCCGCGUGCUGCCGCGUCGGGCGAGCCACCGCGCCGCCUGCUGCCGGGGCGGGCGAGCCGCCGCGCCGGCUGCCGGGGCCGGGCCACGCCGCUGUCGAGGCCGGGCCGCGCAGAGCGGGUGGUCGCUGCCGCGCCGCGAGCUGCACAGACCGAGCGAGCCCGUGCCGCGAGCUGCAGAGGCGGGCCGCCGCGCCGGGCGAGCGUGCUGCCGCUCCGGGCCAGUCGCCGCGCCGGGCCAGCCGCCGCGCCGGGCGAGCGUGCUGCCGCUUCAGCCGCCACGCCGGGCGAGCCGCGUGCUGCCGGGGCGCGCCAGGGAGCCGCCCGCGGCGCGUGCACCCGAGGCCGGGCGAGCCCGUUUAGAGAAGACGACGAGGCGGUGAGCGCGAGCGCUCACAGACAUCGUCAUCGUCGGACGGUCUCGCUGUUGCCGACCACGACCCCGGCGCGAGUGGCCGUGGAGAGAGGUGGUGCGCCAGCCGACGUACCACCCUGUUGCCGCUCGGGCUCAAGAGCGUCGACGGUGAGACCGUUCCGGAUGGGCCGUCAUCGGGAGUCGGGGUAGGCAGUCGCUGCUGCACCCCGUCGCCGAGGACUAAGGCGAUCCUCUCAUCGUCGGAGGAGGAAGAGGUGGCGUCGACGGCAACCGUCGCAGUAGACGUGGAUGCGAUCUGGCCGACGGGGCGACCACGAGGGCCGGUUGAUUUCCGCGCAGUCAGCCGUGUCCGAGCACGAGGGCGCGCUGGAGAGGUGACUUGAACGAGCAGUCCGCUCGAUCUAACAGCGGGGGUGGCAGUGUCUGCAUCCGCUGGAGGAGCACGCAGUUGGCGAGCAGGACACGGCCCCCAUCCAUGGAGGGGGCAGUACCGCAUCGGACGGAGCGGCUGCUGGGUCUCGGACUCACGCAACCGCUCUGCAACCCGCUCCAGCGAAGGCGAUGGAGGACACACCCAUCGGUCUUGGCGUGGCGCUGGCGGUUGCUGCGGCGGUGCAGCAGGUGCCGUAGCGUUGCUGGGACCUGCGCCAGGAUCACCACCGGUCCGGCGGACGCGCUCAGGGUCAAGUGUGGCCCGGGUGUCCUUCUUGCUGCGCUUCUUGGCAUGGUGGCGACCAUGUCGAUGCGCAGCACGUAGAAGACGACGUGCGACAAAGUCAGCGCCUCGCCGGCGACGAUGGCCACCGUUCAAAAACCGAGGGAUGAAGGUAAGAAGGGCAACAGAAAGAUCUUUGUAGAUCAUUGCGUACCCGACUGUUUUUCUUUUCUUUUGAUGAAGAACUUCUUGCCUCCGCUGUUCUUGUUUUGGCCUUUGCUCUCUUUUGUAAAAGCAAGUGCUGAUGACGUGUAAUAAAGUGAAACUGUAUGUGACAAAUGAAUAGUGGACGAAUCCCUGUCUUUCUUCUUUAUUGCAACUGAUAUUUAUACAUGGAGAGAUGCCUGAAGGCACCGACGUACAGAGGAGACACGUCUGUUGAUAGUUGAGAUCGUGGGCCACGUCUAUUCGUGAACAGGUGCCAUAUGGACCACGUCCUUUUGUUACCCCGACGACUGAAGCAAUUAGGGAACUGCUUAUUCAUCUUAACACAAACAAAAAAAGUAAGAAAACAACCUACCAUUUAUAGAACACAAACGUAAUACUCCCUGGACCAAAUUAUAGUUAGCUUUGUCUUACUUUAAUUUUUUUUAUCUUUGAUGAAAUGUAUAGGAGAAUGCACCAAACCAACAACAUCGACAACAUCAAAUUAGUUUUAUUAAACUCUUUGAUAAUGCAUUUAUUUGAACCUGUAGAUGCUAAUACAUUUUCCUAAUAACUUGGUCAGUUUUAGAAGAUUGAUUUAGGACAAAAAAUAAAGUGUCAUGUAAUUUAUUGCAGAAAAAAUGUGCCAUGUAUUUACAACGGAGGGAAUAACAUCUAUGCAUAUAGUCACGCUUCAAGACAAUUAAGAAUAAUAGAAUCAUAGAACAUAAUUGAAUAAUAUUGUGUGUUGUUUAAAAAUAUCCCUUUUUGUCUCAUGCCAAAGGACAAGCUCAAAACCAGCCUAAAUCUCUUGUGGUUAACUAUGUCGCUAUCUAUGGGAGUUUUAUCCACAUGCGUUUCUUCUAUAUGCACAGAGGUUGUCUUACACAUGCGGGUGUUGAGUUUUUUUUACUAAAUUGAAUACUAUUUCAACAAUGUGAGAGCGAUGCAAACAUAAAGCAGGAUCAAAAGAACCAUUUAGAGCCAACAUACUUGGCCGCUAGAAUCGUCUCUCUGCUUAUUUUGGCACGACGAAAAGGUCGACGACACAGGACCUAUCAUUUCCUCAAGGGUCGUCUGCCAGCUUUGUUGUAGUUCGCUGACAGGCAGGAUCACACCCUGCAAAUCCAAACCAAAAAUGGACAAAAUGCAGGUGGGGGAGAAAGGAGAAAGAUGAGAUUAAUUUGGGACCUGGACCCAGGCGCGCUGGAAGUGGAUGUCGGAGAGCAUCUGCGUGGCGGAGCAACCCUCAAAGCAUGGCGCCUCGCUGCAGCCGGCGAGAUGGGAGCCAAAGAUCUUCAGCGCAGACACCUUCUACUAUGGCCCUCCCUCGUCCGCUACCAUGUGCCCCAUUCCAUGGACGAUGAGUGUCUCCAAUCUCCGGCGUGCCACCACUCCCAUUGUCUGUUGUGCUCCGACUGCGGCUGUGACGACACCUUCUGCUUUGGCCAUCUCACCUCAACGUCCUUGCGUCCCACUCCACCGUGUACCUAUCCCGCUCCUCAAUUCAUCCAAUCCCGCCUCGAGCCGGCCAUGCACCGGCGCGCCGCCACCGCCGUGCCCAGGGAGUUGGAGGAGGGUGGAUUAAAUGUUCAAGCAUCUGCUCGCCUCCACGAGCUGGGCGAGGCAGGGAGCUCGAGGGCGCAGG